UACGUAGGGUGCGAGCGUUGUCCGGAAUUAUUGGGCGUAAAGCGCACGUAGGCGGCUUUGCAAGUCGGAUGUGAAAUCCCUCGGCUCAACCAAGGAAGUGCAUCCGAAACUGCAGAGCUUGAGUACCAAAGAGGAUCGCGGAAUUCCCGGUGUAGAGGUGAAAUUCGUAGAUAUCGGGAGGAACACCAGUGGCGAAGGCGGCGAUCUGGGUGGAUACUGACGCUGAGGCGCGACGGCGUGGGGAGCAAACCGG
rnacentral:rRNA from 1 species